CAUAUGUCAGAAGGAGGAUCAUCUGCUGUGGGUGUUCCUGAUCUUUGAGCCAUGAUAAUGUUACUGGUUGGAUGUCAGGAGCAGGCCAUGUGGAUGAUUAAAAGAUGAAUAUCAUAUACAGCAUGGAUAUGUUGGACAAAAAGAUGAUUCACAUCCCAGACAGAAUGGAGCAGCACAUUUAUUAAAAGCCAGAAGCUAGAAGACGAGGAAAGAAGAGGUGGUUAAAGAAAGAUACAGUAACAGCAGUAAUAUCUAACAGGAAGGCUACAGGGGAAAAUACAGAAAUUCCAUAAAGAACAAACACUGUAACUCAAAACCAAAGCUUUGCUAGUCACUAGUGCCCGCUACAUCCUAACAGAUGCAGCUGGAGAGCCUGGGGUGAGAACAUGAGCAGUCUAUAAUCAGAAAAUCCCUUUGGGAUAAAUUGACAAAAAUAUAAACCACUCCACAAAGGAGAAAUUGUAAAUGUUGUUCUUCCAGAUGGCAUGAAUCCAACAGUGAAGAAAUCAGAAUACGUUGCUUUUGUGAGGGGCAGCUGCUGAUUUUCUCUGAGCUCCGUUUCCAGCCUUCACAUGCUCUGCUAUUCAUCACAGGGUAAAUUCUGACUAUAGGAGGUACUGACAGAAGAUUAGGGAAGAACAGAGGGCUAAAUGUUUAUUGACUUCUUGAAAAAUGCUAUGUGUCUUGCCAGACUUAGCUUACAAGUUUGGUUAAAGAGAGACUGACAUGAGCAUAAAGGAAGGGACAUUGAAAGAGGCAGAGAUGAAGGAAGAAAUUGUAACUUACUCCUUUUAUCCCACCCAUCAAAGGAAAGACAAGUUGACAAGUAUUGAUUCUGCAACAAACUGAGAAGAAACCUGGCGAUUCACAACAGAGAGCUGAGAAAUCCUAAGUCUGGAUUCCAGCUAAAUGGGAGCAGACUAAAUAGAGCGGCAGUCGGCGAACUACAUGUAGCCCAUGAACAAAAUCCGGUCCAGCACGUGUGUUUUUUUUUACGGCCCACAAAUGAGUCUGUCUUUACAGAUGAAUGUUAAAACUGGGUUGACAAGAGAGAACACUCACUUUGAACCGCAACUAAACAAAAUAUUAUCACCUUUCCCCUCAAAAAAGUAAUUGCUUCAAGGAUAGGGUUACAAUUCAAGUUAGUCCAGUGAGACUGAAUCCCAGGACUUAUGUUUUAAUUAUUGGAGAAG
rnacentral:lncRNA from 1 species